rnacentral:rRNA from 1 species
CGCUCUUUGAUAGAAUUUUGUAUAGAGAGUUGUGCCUGCUCAAUGAUUAUAGCAUUAAAUAGCCGCGGUACUCUGACCGUGCGAAGGUAGCAUAAUCAUUUGCCUUAUAAUUGAAGGCUAGAAUGAAUGGCUUGACGAGAGCUUAACUGUCUUUUUAUUUUUAUUUAUAAAUUAAUUUUUAUGUAAAGAAGCAUAAAUUUUUAAAAGGGACGAGAAGACCCUAUUGAGUUUUAGUUUAAUUAUGAUGGUUUUUUGUAUUAAUAUAAUUGGUGUUGUAAUGGACUUUGGUUGGGGCAACCGAGGAGCUAUAAGUAGCCUCCUUAAAUUAAAAUUAGAUAAGAUGAUAAUUAUUAUGAUCCAGAAUUAGUGAUUAAUAGAUAUAAUUACCAUAGGGAUAACAGCGUAAUUCCUUCUGAGAGUUCUAAUUGAAGAGGGGGAUUGCGACCUCGAUGUUGGAUUAAGAUGUCUGGGGGGUGUAGCAGCUUUCUUAGUGAGUCUGUUCGAC